GAUCAUGGCUCAGGACGAACGCUGGCGGCGUGCUUAACACGUGCAAGUCGAACGAAAAGACGGAAAGAGCUUGCUCUUUUCAGAAUUGAGUGGCAAACGGGUGAGUAACACGUAAACAACCUGCCUUCAGGAUGGGGACAACAGACGGAAACGACUGCUAAUACCGAAUAAGUUCCAAGAGCCGCAUGGCCCAUGGAAGAAAAGGUGGCCUCUACCUGUAAGCUAUCGCCUGAANAGGGGUUUGCGU
rnacentral:rRNA from 1 species